CAGUGAGGGGUUAGGUGCCUUGCUCAAGGGCGCUUCAGCCGUGCCUACUGGUCGGGGUUCGAACCGGCAACCCUCCGAUUACAAGUCCUAAGCGCUAACCAGUAGGCCACGGCUGCCCCACAAGUAUACACUAGUGAGGUAUUCCUACUUUUGUUAGAUGAGUUGACACUAGUGAGGUGUUCCUACUCUGGUCAGGUGUUAGAUGAGAUGACACUAGUGAGGUGUUCCUACUCUGGUCAGGUGAGAUGACACUAGUGAGGUGUUCCUACUCUGGUCAGGUGUUAGAUGACACUAGUGAGGUGUUCCUACUCUGGUCAGGUGAGAUGACACUAGUGAGGUGUUCCUACUCUGGUCAGGUGUGGCUGCUUGUGUUUCUGCCUGCUUCCUCCUCCGCCAUCUUGACGCUGCUUCGCUCCGCUCCACUCUGCCCCAGACCUGCAGAUUCCUGACUUUUUCUGCUGUUUUUGUAAAGAAUGUUUUCCUCUUUUUUUAAUCAAAUAAAGGAAAUGUGAACUCUUGAA